AUGGCCUCAUCAGGUAGAAACACUGGUUCCUAUACAAUUACUGAAGUUAAGCAAUGUUGAGCUUGGUCAGUACCAGAUGGGUCACCACUUGGGAAUACAAGGUGCUAUA